ensembl:lncRNA
UUUUGUCCUUAAGGUGGCUUCCCAGGUGUGCUAGUGGUUAGGAACCUGCCUGUCAACGCAGGAGACACAAGAGACGAGGUUUCGAUCCCUGGGUCGGGAAGAUCCCAUCAAGGAGGAAAUGGCAAUUCUUUCCUGUAUUUUUUGCCUGGAAGAUUCCAUGAACAGAGAAGCCUGGUGGGCUGCAGUCCAUGGGGAUGCAAAGAAUCAAAAAUGAUUGAGUUACUGAGCACAACACACUGAGUCCUUAAGUUUCCAGAUUUAACUACUCUCUACCAUACUCCAUUGAGUGGUGACUAUUCGUCUUGAUUGAACCCUGAUUUGUAUAUGGACUCUGAUUGAUACAAUUUCCAAUCAAGAAAAUAAUGAGACUGUUAGUCUAAGGAGCACAUCUUGCCUCAAUUCCGUCAGUUAUUUUGAAGUCCUAGAAGUGAAAGUGUUAGUCGCUGAGUUGUAUCUGACUCUUUGUAGCCCCAUGGACUGCAGUCCAGUAG